UACGGAGGGUGCGAGCGUUGUCCGGGAUCACUGGGCGUAAAGGGCGCGUAGGCGGCCUGAUAAGUAGGGGGUGAAAUCCUGCGGCUUAACCGCAGGGCUGCCUUCUAAACUGUCAGGCUGGAGCACAGUAGAGGCAGGUGGAAUUCCCGGUGUAGCGGUGGAAUGCGUAGAGAUCGGGAAGAACAUCAGUGGCGAAGGCGGCCUGCUGGGCUGUUGCUGACGCUGAGGCGCGACAGCGUGGGGAGCAAACAGG
rnacentral:rRNA from 1 species